CAAAAUGUAGCUUAAUUAAAGCCCCUUGCUUACACCAAGAACAUGUCCACUGAUCCGGACCAUUUUGA
rnacentral:tRNA from 1 species